UCCCUGGUGGCUCAGUGGGUAAAGCAUCUGCCUACAAUGUGGGAUACCCAGGUUCGAUACCUGGGUUGGGAA
rnacentral:tRNA from 1 species